rnacentral:rRNA from 1 species
GUCUGCUUGGAGAUAUAAGAAGUCUAGCCUGCUCUCUGAUUUUUUAAAGGGCCGCGGUAAUCUGACCGUGCAAAGGUAGCAUAAUAGUUAGUUUCUUAAUUGGGAUCUUGUAUGAAUGGUUGGACAAAAGAAAUACUGUCUUUGUAAUUGUUAUUGAAUUUAACUUUUAAGUGAAAAGGCUUAAAUUUAUUGAUAAGACGAUAAGACCCUAUAAAGCUUUAUAAGUAAAUAUUAUUUAGUUAAAUUAGUUAAUAAAAUUUUAAUAAUUAAAUUAUUUUAUUGGGGAGAUAAUAUUAUAAGUAAGAGUAACUGUUAAAGAUUGUUACAAAUAUAAGUGUUUAGGUAAGUAAAAGAUCCUAUUUAAAGAUUAAGAGUUUAAGUUACUUUAGGGAUAACAGCGUUAUUUUUUUUAAGAGUUCAUAUCGAAAAAAAAGAUUGCGACCUCGAUGUUGAAUUAAAAUUUCUAAAUGAUUGCAGAAGUUGUUUUAGAGGGUCUGUUCGACCUUUAAAUUUUUACAUGAUUUGAGUUCAGACCGGCGUGAGCCAGGUUGGUUUCUAUCUUUUAAGAUUAAUAAAAUUAUUCUAGUACGAAAGGAUUGAAUAAUUAAAUUUUAUUUAUUAAUGA